GACGGAGGAUGCAAGCGUUAUCCGGAAUGAUUGGGCGUAAAGCGUCCGCAGGUGGCAGUUCAAGUCUGCUGUCAAAGACCGGGGCUUAACUUCGGAAAGGCAGUGGAAACUGAACAGCUAGAGUAUGGUAGGGGCAGAGGGAAUUCCUGGUGUAGCGGUGAAAUGCGUAGAUAUCAGGAAGAACAUCGGUGGCGAAGGCGGCUCUCUGGAACGCAACUGACGCUGAGACGCGAAAGCGUGGGGAGCAAACAGG
rnacentral:rRNA from 1 species